UAUAUUUCCCUGUGCUUGGGAAGAGACUGAGAAAAGCUGUGGUCUGCGACAUCACCACUGAAAGUGAUAGGUAAAGAUAGCACAGAGUUUAAUAGCAGAGUAUUCAACAGCAGCAGCAACUCAAGCAAUAUGGACAUUGUUAAGUAGGUUCCAGAACACAAUGAAUUGGCUGAUUAGUGGGUUGACUAAAACAAGUUGUUUUAAUGAUAUAUAAACAAGUACCAUUUACUGAUUUCCUGCUCUAAAAUAACACCUAGCAGGAGAGCUAAAUAUCCUGCUAGGUGGAGAAAGAACUACAAUCAAGAAGGGGCUGGCCCAUAGGCAAGAGUAACUGGAGACACUCUGUGACUAUGCUCACCAAUGGACCCAUUUUUCAGAUUCAUGAACAAAGCAUUUUUUCUCUACUGCUACUACAGGAGGCAGAUCUGUGAAGGGGCAAAGAGAAAUGAACACAUUGUUUAGUUUGGAGGACCACAUUUUCAGAGAGAAAUUAACAAAUUGGAGAAUAUCCAGGGGAAGGUCAUGAGAAUCAUGAAAGAACGAUAGUCAUGACAAUGUGAGAAUAAGUGAAGAAAUGACAUGGGCUGUUUCCUAUCAAUUGGAGACGGAGGAUGCGGACUAAGGUCCAUUUCCAAUUUCAGUCUAGUUGGGAGGCAGGUGCCCAGGGCUCCAAAGAGCAAUUAACAUCCUGAUUGGAAGAGACAUCUGGUGUCAGCUACAAAAGGGCCUUGUGUCACAUCCAUUUGUGGAUCAAAUGGUUUCUCUCUGAAGGAGGAAAGGAAGGAGAAGGAAGCAGAGGAGCCUUGAAUGCAUAAUGACCCACCACAGCCAGAAAGAUGAAA
rnacentral:lncRNA from 1 species